GAGUUUGAUCUUGGCUCAGAACGAACGCUGGCGGCAUGCCUAACACAUGCAAGUCGAACGAGACCUUCGGGUCUAGUGGCGCACGGGUGCGUAACGCGUGGGAAUCUGCCCAAAGGUACGGAAUAACUCCUCGAAAGGGGUGCUAAUACCGUAUGAUGUCGCAAGACCAAAGAUUUAUCGCCUUUGGAUGAGCCCGCGUAGGAUUAGCUAGUUGGUGGGGUAAAGGCCUACCAAGGCGACGAUCCUUAGCUGGUCUGAGAGGAUGAUCAGCCACACUGGGACUGAGACACGGCCCAGACUCCUACGGGAGGCAGCAGUGGGGAAUAUUGGACAAUGGGCGAAAGCCUGAUCCAGCAAUGCCGCGUGAGUGAUGAAGGCCCUAGGGUUGUAAAGCUCUUUUACCCGGGAUGAUAAUGACAGUACCGGGAGAAUAAGCCCCGGCUAACUCCGUGCCAGCCGCCGCCGU
rnacentral:rRNA from 1 species